CCCUUAGAUGUUCUGGGCCGCACGCGUGCUACACUGAUACGUUCAACGAGCUAUUCGACCUGGGCCGAAAGGUCUGGGGAAUCUUUUGAAAUCGUAUCGUGUUGGGGCUUGACGAUUGUAAUUAUUUGUCACAAACGAGGAAUUCCUAGUAAACGCAAGUCAUCAGCUUGCAUUGAUUACGUCCCUGCCCUUUGUACACACCGCCCGUCGCUCCUACCGAUUGAAUGUUCCGGUGAACCCUCGGGAGCCGUGGUUUGGUCUGGGGCAACUCAGCCUUACCAAUGGUGAACUUGUGUAAACCUUAACAUUUAGAGGAAGGAGAAGUCGUAACA
rnacentral:rRNA from 1 species